CCUUUCCCCGACUGAACUCGGGUCCUUGAGGGCUGCAGCCUCGGGCCCUUUGCCUCUCCCAGUGACGGCCCAGGGAGCAAAAGGUUAUUGAACAUCUACAGUGGACGGCCCCAGGGCAUAGAGGUGAACCAGAUGCCACAUCCUGCCCUUCCCGGAGGCGAAGGAAGUAAGGGAGACUGAUUUCGUGGAAGGCAGAGCACCCAGGUUCUCAAAUAACUAUACGAACGUCCAGGUUUCAAGUUAGUUUACGCUGAGCGACCUUAAGCAUGACAAUCUCUCUGUUCCUCAGCAUUUUAAUCUAUGAAUUGGCAUCAACAUCAUAUGAAGCUGAGCGACUUAACCCACGGGACCCUUGCAGAACAGUGUCUUGUACGCAUUAGGUUCUCCAUAAACACCAUCUGUUAUCGUCAGGACUCUCUUAGCCGUUAGUUGGUACCAAGAACUAAACACCAUGUGACGGGCUAUGAUCUGUCCCGUGCACAGCAAUAUGGCCCCAUCACCUCCCACUUUGGAUCCUUGACUUCUAAUAAUGUUGCCCAGAAUUUUUGGAGAAUGAUCCUUUUCAGCCACCACACCACCCUGAGCAUCCUUCUAAGAUUUCUGGCAACAAAACCUAAAGCAGCUCUACAACUCUUCACAUGGGCUCUCCCGCGCGUCUUCGCCUUCUGACUCAGGCUGGAUUCCGCACCCGUGUGCACGCACCACCUUUAUCUCUGUAACAGGGAAGUCACCAAUGAGAUAGACAUGCCCGCGACCUUUGCAGAGGAGUGGGGACAGAGAGUGUGGGGAAGACUGGAGGCGCGCAGAUGCCCGCAGAGGGAGGGAGCAGCGCUGUGAAACUACAGAGCCAUCAACACCCUUGCAACUGUUGCUGCUGUCACCCAUUGUAAUUGUAAUUUCCCACAAUUUCACGUUACACGUGGAAUUAAUAAGCAUACUUAUCCCUGCCACACUACCAAUAAC